AUUGAACGCUGGCGGCAGGCCUAACACAUGCAAGUCGAACGAGUGGCGGACGGGUGAGUAAUGUCUGGGAACCUGCCUGAUGGAGGGGGAUAACUACUGGAAACGGUAGCUAAUACCGCAUACCAUCGGAUGUGCCCAGAUGGGAUUAGCUUGUUGGUGGGGUAACGGCUCACCAAGGCGACGAUCCCUAGCUGGUCUGAGAGGAUGACCAGCCACACUGGAACUGAGACACGGUCCAGACUCCUACGGGAGGCAGCAGUGGGGAAUAUUGCACAAUGGGCGCAAGCCUGAUGCAGCCAUGCCGCGUGUAUGAAGAAGGCCUUCGGGUUGUAAAGUACUUUCAGCGGGGAGGCGUUACCAACCGCAUAAGCAACGGCUAACUUCGUGCCAGCAGCCGCGGUAAUAC
rnacentral:rRNA from 1 species